rnacentral:rRNA from 1 species
UGGGGAAUUUUGGACAAUGGGGGAAACCCUGAUCCAGCCAUCCCGCGUGUGCGAUGAAGGCCUUCGGGUUGUAAAGCACUUUUGGCAGGAAAGAAACGUCAUGGGUUAAUACCCCGUGAAACUGACGGUACCUGCAGAAUAAGCACCGGCUAACUACGUGCCAGCAGCCGCGGUAAUACGUAGGGUGCAAGCGUUAAUCGGAAUUACUGGGCGUAAAGCGUGCGCAGGCGGUUCGGAAAGAAAGAUGUGAAAUCCCAGAGCUCAACUUUGGAACUGCAUUUUUAACUACCGGGCUAGAGUGUGUCAGAGGGGGGUGGAAUUCCGCGUGUAGCAGUGAAAUGCGUAGAUAUGCGGAGGAACACCGAUGGCGAAGGCAGCCGCCUGGGAUAACACUGACGCUCAUGCACGAAAGCGUGGGGAGCAAACAGG